rnacentral:misc_RNA from 1 species
GAUGAAGAACGUAGCGAAAUGCGAUAAGUAGUGUGAAUUGCAGAAUUCAGUGAAUCAUCGAAUCUUUGAACGCACAUUGCGCCCUUUGGUAUUCCAAAGGGCAUGCCUGUUCGAGCGUCAUUUGUACCCUCAAGCUUUGCUUGGUGUUGGGCGUCUUGUGUCUAGCUUUGCUGGAGACUCGCCUUAAAGUAAUUGGCAGCCGGCCUACUGGUUUCGGAGCGCAGCACAAGUCGCACUCUCUAUCAGCAAAGGUCUAGCAUCCAUUAAGCCUUUUUUUCAACUUUUGACCUCGGAUCAGGUAGGGAUACCCGCUGAACUUAAGCAUAUCAAUAAGCGGAGGA